CAUAUACUCCCUCCGUCCCAAAAUUCUCGUCUUAUAUUUGUCUAGAUAUGAAUGUAUCUAGUCACAUUUUAGUAUUUUGAUACAUCCAUUUCUAAACAAACUUAAGACAAGAAUUUUGGGACGGAGUAAUACUAA
rnacentral:pre_miRNA from 1 species